rnacentral:lncRNA from 1 species
ACUAGGAUCUAUACUUCGUUGAGAUAUGGUGUAAAACUGUUCUUCUCCCCCUGUGAUUAAGGGCCUAAAUUUUUUAUUUUUUUUAUUUUUUUUGUGUUAUCUUACGUGCAAUCUCAUAUCCAUUAAGCUACUAAGAAGACCCCUUUAAUGAGUGUUGGGUCGGUGACUCCCAAACCAGUUGACUUUAGGGCACUAGGUUAUGAGAAACCCCUCAGACUUAAUUGCUCGAGUCAUCUAGGCUCCGAAGAUAGGUAUAAGAUGUGAUAUAAUGAAUACUCUGUGGAAACACUCGGGGGUACACGAGAAGUUAGGUCAUCUAGUCCAAGAUCAAUUCAAAUCCAAUGUCUACUCAACGAUAGAUGAUAGCCAUCCCAAGUCUCACACAUGCGGUUAAGACUCAGACACACGGUCCUAGUGUGUGUUGUGCAAAUAUAAUAUGAAGUGACAUAUACUAAGUACUCCAUACAGACUCGGGAUAAGUGACGGGAUUUAGAAACUAAUCAUGUGUAGAAUGCACAUUUGAUUUCAAAUUGCAACUCCGAGAGAACAAGUACAAUGCAAAAAUGACAUGUGAUGAUCAAACUCCCCUCCCCCCUUUUUUAUAUGAAGUUUUUAAAAAAAAAAAUGCAAAUAAACACAUAAAGGUAACGUAAUGAAUGCAAAAAAAUAAAAUAAAAAAUGCAUGCAUCUAUGAAGACGAUCAGGGAGGAACACAGAUGCCAACAGUCUUCCUAAGUGACUCGAAUCUAAACCCAUCUAGAGGUUUAGUGAAUAGAUCAGCAAGUUGAUUUUUAGUAGAGAUGUGUUCGAGAGAAAUCACAUGGACUCAACUAGCUCUCGAAUAAAGUGAUGACGAAUGUCAAUGUGCUUGGUCCAAGAAUGUUGAACCAGAUUUUUU